AACGAACGCUGGCGGCGCGUCUUAAGCAUGCAAGUCGAACGGCAAGAUUGGUGCUUGCACCGAUCCUAGAGUGGCGGACUGGUGAGUAACGCGUGGGUGACGUACCCUAAGGAUGGGGAUAGCUGGUAGAAAUAUCAGAUAAUACCGAAUAUCCUUAUUGUUGUUAGAGGACAGUAAGGAAAGGAGCUUUGGCUUCGCCUAAGGAUCGGCCCGCGUACUAUUAGCUAGUGGGUGAGGUAACGGCUCACCAAGGCGACGAUAGUUAUCCGGCCUAAGAGGGUGAACGGGCACAUUGGGACUGAGAUACGGCCCAGACUCCUACGGGAGGCAGCAGCUAAGAAUAUUCCGCAAUGGAGGAAACUCUGACGGAGCGACGCCGCGUGGAUGAUGAAGGCCGGAAGGUUGUAAAAUCCUUUUAAGCAAGAAGAAUAAUCUUUACAGGGAAUGGUAGAGUGGUGACGGUAUUGCUUGAAUAAGCAACGGCUAAUUACGUGCCAGCCGCCGCAGUAAAAC
rnacentral:rRNA from 1 species